GCGCGGAGCCGCGCGGAGUGACAAAGCCGCCGCUGCCGCCGCCGGGGGUGGGAGCCGCGCUCGCCCGCCCGCCCCUCGACUCGCGAGGGCGUAAAAGUUUGUCUCAGCUCGAGCAUUCCUAGCGCCAACACGCCCUCAGGUAAAGGUGGAAGUAAAUGGCCACGCUGUAUUGACAGAGCAGGUAGAUGAAACUCAAGAGAAAAGGUGUGGAUAAAUGAAACUAGCCCAUGAUGAACCUGUUUUCUCCGUGACCACAAUAUUAACCAGGAUGAAUGGCGGUGGCAGUGGGCCUGCAUCACAGGUUGCAGCAGAUGUUCUCAAUAUUUCUAUUAAAAUUUCCUUAUUUCCAUAUGCAAGAGGAGCCCCAGAGCUGCAUCCUUAUGGUAGCUACCAUGCCGUGAUGUAAGCUGCCAUUCACUGGGGAGCUUUGGCAAUAGAAUUGGCUAGAUCAGGAAGCCUAUGUCAACUAUGGAACAACAACUUGCAGCUCAUCUCUAUUGAUGGUGAAACAGUCGCAAAUGGAAUUCCAAGAAACAUUCUAUCAUCAGGUAUUAUCUACUGCUGUCUGCAGAAUUCAGACAUGGAGGGCUCAAUGGUGUCCCCUGGUCUUUGGAACAUUCUGUAUUUUAAUGAUCAUGAUACACUGCCUCUAGGACUGGGACAGAUAGCCACUGAGUACCUGCUUCAAAUCACCCUGCACGUUUUCUCUUUGGAAAGAUAAGCACUGGAGAACCAUCUCGUUACCUUCAGCAGAAAUGGAAACAAAUCAAGACAUUAAGAAUGCCGCAGUGGACAGCAGUUAUGCAAGGUUCAGCAGAGGAAGUUUUCAAGAUGGUGUGCCUCACUAGCCAGAAAUCAGAAAAGAUCGAAGCUAGCCUUUUCAUCUCAGCUGCUCCUUAAAUCAGUGCAACCCCUCCAAAUUAAUGUGAAUUGAAACUUGCAUUGCUUUUCAACUUAAUUGAAUACUUACUAUAUGUGAACCACUGCACAAAAUAGGGGAAGAAGAUGUGGGAGACAAAGAUGUGGAGCCUGUCUUCAAUAAAUUUACAGUUAGUUUCAGGGUACAUUGUUUUUCUUCUGCUGUUAAUUAGGUGUAUCCCCAAGACAAUAAAUACAUGAAUGGAAAAGUAUAUUCUGUGUUUUAAGUCUCUUUAAUAAAAAACAAAACAAAAUCCAAAAAAACUCCUAACAUGGCAACUCAGGACAUUUUAAUCCUUUUUUUUGUUGUUGGGCUUCUGAUAGGAUCCAUUUUAUUGAUUCCAUAAAUAUUUAGUAGACUUUAGACAUAUUAAUACAUUGUAGUUUGAGUUAAUUUGCAUUAAAUUCUGUUUUUUUCCCCUUAGGUAUAGAUUGUCUGUUGGAAAAAUAUAUUGCUUGUGGAUUUCUUGGGGAGUGGGAAGGUGAAUUAUACCUGUUGUCUCUACAGUCCACUACCUUCCACACCCUAGGGCAGUGGUCCCCAACCUUCUUGGCACCAGGGAUCAGUUUCCUGGAAGACAAUUUUUCUGUGGAUGGUGUGGGGAUGGUUUUGGGAUGGAACUGUUCCACCUCAGAUCAUCAGGCAUUAGUUAGGCUCUCAUAACGAGUGCGCAGCCUAGAUCCCUCACAUGCACAGUUCACAGUAGGGUUUGCGCUGCUAUGAGAAUCUAAGGCUGCCACUGAUCUGACAGGAGGCAGAACUCAGGUGGCAAUGCUUACUGGCCCACUGCUCACCUCUUGCUGUGCGGCCUGGUUCCUAAUAGGCCAUGGACCCCCACAGACGGGUACUAGUCUGCAGCCUGUGGACCCCAGCCCUAGGGGCCUGCCAUUCUGAGUGAGUUAUUAGCAUGAAGAAGAGGAAGAUCUGGAUCAAACGUGGGUGAUGGUACUCAGAGACCCAAGAUAGGAUAGGGAUGGAACAAAAUCCAUCUGGGCAACGGCUCUAUGAAAAUUUGGCUAAGUAAUUAUUUCAGUAUUCAUUGUAUUCAUUGUCCUUCGUGUUCCAUAAGUUAAAUGACUGUCUAAUUUUUCCAAAAAUUUAUUUCUGACUUGAGAAUAAGUGUGUCAUGAUUUUCCCAGUGUAAAGACACUGAUAUAACUGUAGAUACCAGACAUUUUAUGUAGUGUCUAUGACACAUUUUAGUAUGUAUGAGCCAACAAUAGACAUGUCUUUGUCUUGAGGAGUGUCCAUCUGAAUUGAAAAUGUGUCAGCUUUUUUUUAACAUCAUCAACAGACUUCUUAAUUAAGCUGCCAAUACAUACUGCCAAUAGCACUGUGUGCUGUCUGAGAAAUGCAUUGUGUAAGUGCUAUUUCCAUCUUAUUAAAUAAACAAUGUUGCUCUGUAUAAACUGGAUUUAAAGUGUUCUUUGAAUGAGGCAUUAUAUUGCUCCAUAAAUAAUGUGAUGUGAAUUCUCAUAUGAUCCCUUUUAACUUAAUUUCUAAAAAAAUAUUAUUUGCUCCUCAGUAAGGAAUAGCUCUAAUUGGACUGGUAACUUUAGUGAUAUGAUUUGUCUGUAACAGGCUGAAUCGCCCCACUCCCAAACUCCUGGUCGUGAUACUGGAUAUUUGUUAUGCCACUUUUAGUUUGCAUGAGGUAUCUUCCAGGAAGUAUUAGUUAUUAACUUGUGUUCUACUAAACUGUAGAUAUUUAUUUCCUGUUCUGGAAGAUUUCUUGGAGUGUCCAUCUGUGCAUUCCUGGUGCCUAGUGUAGUCUUGCUAAUGGAAUAGCACCUUUAUUGGUGCUACUUAGGGGUUGGUAGCUUACAAUCAAUCUACUUGGAACGUAUCCAAAUAAA
rnacentral:lncRNA from 1 species